rnacentral:tRNA from 5 species
GGUUCUAUGGUGUAAUGGUUAGCACAUGAGGUUCUGAUCCUCAUGAUCCCGGUUCGAUUCCGGGUAGGACCU